CCUACGGGAGGCAGCAGUGGGGAAUAUUGGACAAUGGGGGCAACUCUGACCCAGCAACGCCGCGUGAAUGAUGAAGUACUUCGGUAUGUAAAGCUCUAUCAGCAGGGAUGAACACAAUGACGGUACCCCACUAACAAGCCACGGCUAACUACGUGCCAGCAGCCGCGGUAAUACGUAGGGGGCAAGCGUUAUCCGGAAUUACUGGGGGUAAAGGGAGCGUAGAUGGUGUAGCAAGUUUGCAGUGUAAUGCCGGGGCCCAACCCCCGGACUGCGUUGGAAACUGUAUGACUGGAGUGCAGGAGGGGUAAGUGGAAUUCCUAGUGUAGCGGUGAAAUGCGUAGAUAUUAGGAGGAACACCAGGGGCGAAGGCGACUUACUGGACUGUAACUGACGUUGAGGCUCGAAAGCGUGGGGAGCAAACAGGAUUAGAUACCCGUGUAGUC
rnacentral:rRNA from 1 species